rnacentral:lncRNA from 1 species
CGGGAAUGCUUGAUUUCUAUCUUCAGGAUUGGCCUAUCCUGCUCGAAGCAACAGCCUCGAGGGCGAGCAUCGAUAAGAGAUGUUGUGGUGGAGAUGCAUGCGGUCCGAGAUGCAUACCUGAUGUUUGGCAAUUAGCAUCCAAGGGAAUAUGAGAUAGAAAGAGCAUCCGCUAAUCAGACAUCCAGAGAGACUCUGAUCAAACAGGCAGGUAGAAAUGAUUCUGAAAUAAAAAUUAGCCAAAUAUAUUGUUUCAGUUAAAAGCUGUUCCCAGAGCUAUACUACUUUGUGUUGCGUAAUUGUGCCAGUAUCAGUGUAUAUGUUGUUUCAGUUAAAAGCUGAUAAUGUACACCAGAUCUCUUGGGCCACAAAUAUUACAUACUACAAUCACUAAUAUUUUAAAUUUAAAUGAGUUUAGUAGUAGAAGUUGGAAUGGUAAAUCAGUUAUGAAGAAAUAAUACUGUCUUCUUAAUGAAAUGGAAGAUAAAGCAUAUGUGCAUAUAGGUCUCCAAUGGGUGUGGCAUGGAAUGCAGACCGAAGAACAAUGUUUUGUUUUUAUACUCUUCACUACCAUUCGAGUUAUAUGUUGAAUGUUAUGUAAAUUUUAAUAUGUGCACUACUCAAGAUCUAAGAAGAGAAUAUAGUGAUAGGACUUAAGAACAAAUCGGUUUGCUGGGAGCAUGUCGUACAAGAACCAAAACAAAACGAAACCUAACUCUGACCAAUAGCUACAGGUUCGUUCAAAGAAAAACUAAAGUCAAACCAAUCUAGUAGUACUAGAAUCAUACGCAGCAUCUCAAAUCCUACGCAGCACACCCAAACCAGAAGGCGAGAGAGGAGAUUCUCAAAUCCUACGAGCACACCCAAAUCAGAAGGCGAGAGAAUGAGAUGAAAGGAUUUGUAGUCCAGCAAGCACUAGAAUCACCUGGACCGUUAGGAUAUAUACAGCCGUGCAUCUAGCCGGCGACCUCGGACGACGGCGGCCGGCGGGGCCACGCAGGCAGCACCGGAGGGCGGAGCGUCGGCGCUGGCAAGAAGGCCAGAAGGGGC